rnacentral:rRNA from 1 species
UGGGGAAUAUUGGACAAUGGGCGCAAGCCUGAUCCAGCCAUGCCGCGUGUGUGAAGAAGGCCUUUUGGUUGUAAAGCACUUUAAGCGAGGAGGAGGCUACUUGGAUUAAUACUCUAAGAUAGUGGACGUUACUCGCAGAAUAAGCACCGGCUAACUCUAUGCCAGCAGCCGCGGUAAUACAGAGGGUGCGAGCGUUAAUCGGAUUUACUGGGCGUAAAGCGUGCGUAGGCGGCUUCUUAAGUCGGAUGUGAAAUCCCUGAGCUUAACUUAGGAAUUGCAUUCGAUACUGGGAAGCUAGAGUAUGGGAGAGGAUGGUAGAAUUCCAGGUGUAGCGGUGAAAUGCGUAGAGAUCUGGAGGAAUACCGAUGGCGAAGGCAGCCAUCUGGCCUAAUACUGACGCUGAGGUACGAAAGCAUGGGGAGCAAACAGG